rnacentral:rRNA from 1 species
GACGAACGCUGGCGGCGUGCCUAAUACAUGCAAGUAGAACGCAGUUGCGAACGGGUGAGUAACGCGUCGGUAACUGCCUCAUAGCGGGGGAUAACUAUUGGAAACGAUUGCUAAUACCGCAUACUGUGAGAUGGACCUGCGUGGUAUUGGCUAGUUGGUGGGGUAAAGGCUCACCAAGGCGACGAUACAUAGCCGACCUGCGAGGGUGGGAGGCCGCACUGAGAGUGAGACCCGGCACAGACUCCUUCGGAAGGCAGCAGUACGGAUUCUUCGGCAAUGGGCGGAGGUCUGACCGAGCAACGCCGCGGGAGUGAGGAGGGUUGUCGGAUCGGAAAGCUCUGUUUUUAGAGAAGCGGUAGUUACCCAGAAAGGGACGGCUAACUACGUGCCAGCCGCCGCGGUAAUAC